ACGCCUUGUGAACUCACGGGCUAUAAUUUGUAGAUUUAAAUAUUUGCCGUAGAGUUAAUAAAUAAAAAGUUAGUUAGGGUAAUUAUGUUAACUAUUUCAUUAGGUGCUUUGGUUUCUCAUCGAAGUAAUGGCCACCUGAUCGAGUGAUUUAGAUCAAGGGUUAGAAUUGUCUUAUCUGCCACAGGCAAUAUUAAAGAACGUUGGACCUAAAAAAAAACACCCAGUACACUGGCAAGCUCCACAGUGCACUAAGUAAUCUAAUAUUUAAGAGCUUCCUGCGAGCCAGUCUUUAGUUUAUUUUCCAUUAGGCGUUGUACUCAUGGUGUGGCUCGGAUGUAGCAGCAUAAUAGGCCACCUUGCAAGCUGGAGCAAGUGCCAAAACAUUGCGGUGUCCUGCUUCAACGUGACAAUUUUCUGUGUCGUGAUGUCUCGGCACAUACACCUACUGGGAAACGAAAUAGAUAAUGGUUUGUAGAAAGCUAUCCUAGUUAAUUAUUUAGGGCACUAUGAGGCUUUCCAGUAUUUUUUCUAGGGUUUUAAUGUCUUAAUUUAACGCAGAAAAAUUUAAAGUUGUAAAUGUGAUAUCGUGCCUCUAGAGGUGAUAGCUGCCCAACUACAGCAAAAUUUUUAUACAUAACUUUCUAGGAUGUUUUGCUUUUGUGAAUGAUCCCAUGGUGCUUCGAUGCUGAUAUUCAGAAGUGAUGGUUACAUUCCAAAUGACUUUCCUAGCAAUCAUUAUGAGCUGUUCCCAAUGCUUUCCUGUUUUGCUUUCUUGAUGUUUGUUAGCCCUUGCCAUUGAGUUAUAAAAUGCAGAGUUGGGAUAGUGUAACAACUCUAUACCACUUCUUUUGUCAGGGGUCUUAGCACCACUCCGCUGAUGUUGUCACCAGGAUUGGCCAAUCAAGAACGAUGGAUGAGAAGCAAAGAACAGAAUCCAGGGAAAGGAAUCACUACAUUAUGCCAGCUCCCUCUUGGCUACAGUAGACAUAAAUCACAAGAAGUUACAUAGUGGAGCACUUUGCAUUGCGCAGGAAGCCAGACUUCUUCAGCAAAACUGCUGCCACUUCCACUCACCAAUGAGUCCAGCGUGCAGCUGGGUCGUCCACAAGCUUGGAAACUUACUCCACAGAAGACGAAGCUUCAAGAAAGAAAAAAGGUCACUACUGCAACCUUUGCCCCUAUGUUGCGAAGAGU
rnacentral:lncRNA from 1 species